CGCUACCUCAUUACCAUGGAUUCCCUGAUGGGAUGGGAUCCAGAUGAACUGAAUUUGAAGUCCGAUGGACCGGCUGCAAGAAGAGCCGAUGCCUCUGCAAA